UACAGAGGGUGCGAGCGUUGUUCGGAAUUAUUGGGCGUAAAGCGCUUGUAGGCGGCAUGUCAAGUCGCGUGUGAAAUCCCCAGGCUUAACCUGGGAAGUGCGCGCGAAACUGACGAGCUUGAGUGCCGGAGAGGGUCGCGGAAUUCCCGGUGUAGAGGUGAAAUUCGUAGAUAUCGGGAGGAACACCAGUGGCGAAGGCGGCGACCUGGACGGACACUGACGCUGAGACGCGAAAGCGUGGGGAGCGAACAGG
rnacentral:rRNA from 1 species